UUCUCUCCCAGCGCUGGGAGGGGAGUGGGGGCUGGUGGUUAGGGCUGGGAGGCAGGACUCCUGGGUUCCCUCCCAGCUCUGGGAGGGCAGUACAGGCUAGUGGUUAGAGCAGGGAACAUGAACAUUCACAUUUGCAGCUGGGCUUUGCACUGACGCUCCCUGACUCGUCUCUGUCUCCGCCGGGACACUAGGACAAGAAAAAGGAGAGAGAAAAGCGAAGGGCUCAAAUAAGUGGGGUGCAAAACAGCUUCUCCCCGACCUGGCAACCACACAAGCUGGUCCCCAGGGCGCCGGCAGCGAGGCCGAAGGUGCAGAUCAGCCCCCGCAGGAAAAGCCACAGGAGGACGAAUCCGUCGGGCUUCACGUCCGUGGGUGCUGAACGGGUUACGCUGGAGAGAAAUCCCAGGCGUCUGCUGACAUGACUAGUCACACACGGGGUGAUAACUGGGCGCCUCUGACUCUGACACCGAUUGGGAUUCACCGCUGGGAUGAAGCUUAAACCUCUUGCAAGAAUUUCCGGGACUGAACUCUGAGCUGCAUCACGCAAUUAACUGGGAUACGUUUGGAAAGAAAACAGUAUUUUCCUUGGAUUAAAUCUUACAGGAAUUUCAGUGAUCGAUUGGGGUUAUCGAUCUAAUUCCCACAAUUUCCUUAGAUUAAAUGAUAAACUUCUGGGGCUAAUUUUGAAAGGACGCCUGGAUUAUCUUUAAGAAACUUCAUUUUUCCUAGAGUAGAAUUUUAAAAGAAUUACCAUAAUCUGAUGGGAUUAACAGACACAUUCCCUGGAAUUAAUUUCUAAUCUUCUGAGUUUGAUGCUGAAAUGCGUCACAACAACUUACUACAAUUAUUUUUAAGGACAUUGAAAUAGUUGCCCUGGGAUUAUUAUUUAAUUAAAUUUCAAUUGUUCACAGGAUUAACGAUGACGUUGCAAUAAUUCUGUGUCUUGGACUCGGAAAUAAAUUGGUGUCGGUCACUUGAAUUCAGUUUUAAAUCUGCUGCAGCCAUUUCCACGGAGUAACAGAUACGUUCUCACAACGUCCUCAGAUGAAUGCAUUGAAUCGCAAUUGUGGUGUUGAGAUUAAUGUUAAUGGACUUUCCAAUUAAAUGGCUGGGAGUAUAUUUUUUAAGAAAUUGCAAUGAUUUACUGUGAUUUUUUUAAACUGCAACAAUUGUUUCAGGAUUUGGUUUAAAGAAAUUGCAAUAAUUCUGCUGAGAAUCUCAAAUCCAUUGCAACAUUUGGCUGGUAAUUACAAAGAACUGCAUUCAUUUCCUAGGAACCAGACUGUAAUCAUUUAGUUUAAUUAACUAUUAAAUAGUAAUUUAGUACCAUUAACUCUUAAAUAAAUUGCAACGAAUUGCUGACUUUACUGUUAAAGAGACUGAAAUUAUUCAGUGGGACGAACUCUUAAAUACUUUGCAAUAUUUCAGCAGGAUUAUUUCAAACUGGGAUUAUAUUUUAAAGGAACCGCAAAAAGUCAGUGGAUUUUGCAGUAAUUUUCAAGGAAUAACCAAAUAAAUUAUCUUUAUUAGCAGCAAUUAAAUUAUAAAGAAAAAGAGUUUAUUAGGGUUACUCGAAUGGUGAAUUAAUUUGCUGAAAUUAUAUUUUAAAUUACAAGCGUUGCCUGGGAUGAAUAUUUAAAUAUUGCAAAAUAAUUAAUAUUUAAAUGUGGAAGAUUAGCUCCUAAACUUCCUCCAUGUACUCGGAUUAAUUUGAAUCAAUUUCUCUCAGUUUCUAGGAUUAAUUCUUUGAAGACGUGGCAAGAAUUUGCAAAGGGCGAACAAAGAAAUGGCCUCACUUGGCUCGGAUUUGCUCAAAGAAAUUGCAAUAGUUUCGGGUUGAUUUAAAUACUUUGCCGUAACGUCCUAGUAACAAAGAAAUCGCCACAAUCGGCUGAUACCGGUCGUAAGAAAAGCUCGUGAAUUAAACUACAUGAAGUUUUAAAUAGUUUUCCCGGUUUCAUUCAGAACUUGCAGCCUGUUUCCGGGGCUUAGCUGUGAACAUGUAAUAAUGAACUGGGCUCAAUCGUUAAAUCCUGUAUCGUUAUUUCCUGGCCUGAGCUGUGAAAAUGUAACGGCUCCGGACGGUACCAGAUGAAUUGAGACGUGAGACGGACGGAGCCGCUCGCUGAGCAAUGGGCCACGUUGGUUACU